UACGGGGGGGGCAAGCGUUGUUCGGAUUUACUGGGCGUAAAGGGCUCGUAGGCGGCCAACUAAGUCAGACGUGAAAUCCCUCGGCUUAACCGGGGAACUGCGUCUGAUACUGGAUGGCUUGAGUUUGGGAGAGGGAUGCGGAAUUCCAGGUGUAGCGGUGAAAUGCGUAGAUAUCUGGAGGAACACCGGUGGCGAAGGCGGCAUCCUGGACCGGCAUUGACGCUGAGGAGCGAAAGCCAGGGGAGCAAACGGG
rnacentral:rRNA from 1 species